UACCACAUGGUGGUGCUUGAAAGUGUGCUAUUUCAAUCAACAUUUACGGGCGGGACAUAUUCAAGAGCGAGAUGCGCGAUAUUUUGACCACGCAAAUCAGCGUAUGGUGUUACGAUAAUUUUUCCUAAACCAAUCAAUGUUUUUAAACAAAUUAAAGAUAUUUGAAAAUAAUACGACAAAGCAAACUAUGUCUCUACAGA